rnacentral:rRNA from 1 species
AACGAACGCUGGCGGCAGGCCUAACACAUGCAAGUCGAGCGGGCAUCCUUCGGGAUGUUAGCGGCGGACGGGUGAGUAACGCGUGGGAACGUGCCCUUUGCUACGGAAUAGCCUCGGGAAGCUGAGAGUAAUACCGUAUGUGCCCUUCGGGGAAAGAUUUAUCGGCAAAGGAUCGGCCCGCGUUGGAUUAGGUAGUUGGUAGGGUAAUGGCCUACCAAGCCGACGAUCCAUAGCUGGUUUGAGAGGAUGAUCAGCCACACUGGGACUGAGACACGGCCCAGACUCCUACGGGAGGCAGCAGUGGGGAAUCUUAGACAAUGGGGGAAACCCUGAUCUAGCCAUGCCGCGUGAGCGAUGAAGGCCUUAGGGUUGUAAAGCUCUUUCAGUGGGGAAGAUAAUGAUGGUACCCACAGAAGAAGCCCCGGCUAACUCCGUG